AACGAACGCUGGCGGCAUGCCUAACACAUGCAAGUCGAACGAGACCUUCGGGUCUAGUGGCGCACGGGUGCGUAACGCGUGGGAACCUGCCCUUAGGUUCGGAAUAACUCCGAGAAAGGGGUGCUAAUACCGGAUAAUGACUUAAGACCAAAGAUUUAUCGCCUGUGGAUGGGCCCGCGUUGGAUUAGGUAGUUGGUGGGGUAAAGGCCUACCAAGGCGACGAUCCUUAGCUGGUCUGAGAGGAUGAUCAGCCACACUGGGACUGAGACACGGCCCAGACUCCUACGGGAGGCAGCAGUGGGGAAUAUUGGACAAUGGGCGAAAGCCUGAUCCAGCAAUGCCGCGUGAGUGAUGAAGGCCUUAGGGUUGUAAAGCUCUUUUACCCGGGAUGAUAAUGACAGUACCGGGAGAAUAAGCUCCGGCUAACUCCGUG
rnacentral:rRNA from 1 species